rnacentral:tRNA from 1 species
GCACACUUAGCUCAGUUGGUAAGAGCUCAAGUCUUGAAAGUUGAGGUCCCAUGUUCAAUUCCUGGAGUGCACA